rnacentral:rRNA from 1 species
GUGGGGAAUAUUGGACAAUGGGGGGAACCCUGAUCCAGCCAUGCCGCGUGUGUGAAGAAGGCCUUUUGGUUGUAAAGCACUUUAAGCGAGGAGGAGGCUACCGAGAUUAAUACUCUUGGAUAGUGGACGUUACUCGCAGAAUAAGCACCGGCUAACUCUGUGCCAGCAGCCGCGGUAAUACAGAGGGUGCAAGCGUUAAUCGGAUUUACUGGGCGUAAAGCGCGCGUAGGUGGCCAAUUAAGUCAAAUGUGAAAUCCCCGAGCUUAACGUGGGAAUUGCAUUCGAUACUGGUUGGCUAGAGUAUGGGAGAGGAUGGUAGAAUUCCAGGUGUAGCGGUGAAAUGCGUAGAGAUCUGGAGGAAUACCGAUGGCGAAGGCAGCCAUCUGGCCUAAUACUGACACUGAGGUGCGAAAGCAUGGGGAGCAAACAGGAUUAGAAACCCUGGUAGUCC